AUGUUAGUUUCAUUUUUAUUCAAUUAAAAAAUACUCUAUAAUUUUCCUUUUUAUUCCUUCUUUUACCCAUGGAAUAUUAAGAUAUUUGGAAGGCAAAUAAACAUACAAAAAGUUGCCUAUAUAUAUACAAAGACUUGUAUACAAAUGUUCAUAACAGUUUUAUUUGUAAUAGUAAAGAAAACAACCCAAAUGUAUAUCAACAAGUAGAAGUAUUAUAAUAAAAACUGUGGUACAUCCACACAAUAGUAUACUACUCAACAAGAGAAAAGAAUGACUAUUAAUACACACAACAACAUGAAUGAAUCUCAACAUAAUUACGCUGCAUGAAAAAAAGACAGAUGAAAAAACACGUACUGUAUGGUUCUAACAUAAAAUUCUGGAAAAUGCAUACUACUUCAAAGUGACACAGAUCAGACCAGCAAUUGCCUAAGAAACAUGGGAGAGAACAGGAAGGGGUGGGAGGAGGGACUCCAAAGAGGCAAGAGAAAACUUCUGGGAGUGAUGGACUUUCAUCAACUCGAUUGUGAUGAUGAUUUCAUAAGUGUGUAUAUAUAUGUCAAACCUAUCAAAUUUUACACAUUAUAUGUGUGUAGUUCAUAGUAUAUGAAUUAUACCUCUAUACAGUCCUUAAAGAAAAAAACACAAAUCCAGAACAGAUACAAUGGCUCUUCACUGCUCAGAACACUAGGACGGCUGCAGUGACUGGGUUACCUUGUCCGAGGUUGCCUGUUUUCCAACUUCAGGAGCUCUGCAAUUCUUUGACUCAGUUUCCAUGUCUACUUGAUUCUCUGCUACUCUCUCUAUUUCACUGCCCUCUGUGGGUUUAUGUGUCAUGUUAAAACUCCCCAAAAGAAGAUCACAAUUGACAUUCAAGGAGCCUGGCCACCUCACAGUUCAUGUAACUCUUUUUUAUUUAGUGCAUGUAUGAUUGUCCUUGUUAGGUUAAUGCAACCAAUUUCCUGUUCAAUCUGUUGUGGCCAGGGAAUCGGGGUCCAUGAUGGAAAGCAAAGCACCCUAUGUGGCAGGAAGUGUCUUUGACUUUCCUUUAGAAGAGGACUGGAGCUGAGAGGAUUUCUUAAACCCAUUUCCUCCUCACCGUUACAAGUUAGGAGGCCACAUCUUUCUAUUCACAUGUGCCUCCAGGAGCUCAGGCAACUCUUCCCUCAUCUAGCAGUUUGCUGAAAUGGGCUUGGCAACUACUUCCAGUCCUCCUCCAAGACAGGAAUUUCCAAGACAGUGAGCAUUUUAGCUCCUGCUGCUGGACAAGAAUAGCAGACAAAGACUGACACAUUGCUGAGUUAUCUCCAAAGCACAAAUGGCUCUCAGGCACAGUACAUUACAUAAGCAGAAAGUGUUACUGUAUUCUCCCUGUGGCCAACUCCUGGAUUGCAGAAAAGGUUAAGCAUAUAAUACAUCUGCAUAUCUUACAUCUUACAUAAAUGUGUUACAACAAAAGGGAAGGGGAAUCAUUAUAUGAAAAACUAGAGUAUGCUCUACCAUCCCCAAAGAUUGCAGACCAUAGAAAGGUCAUACACAGAAAGAAGAGAGCAGGCAGAGGCUCUCCUGGUAAAACAUGGACUUGACUUGAAAUUCUCCACCUCAGCUACUUUCUCCAAAGUCAAGGAACCACAAAACCCUGGUGUGUGAGUUUAUUUUGGUUCACUGGGCUACUGUUUCUGCCAAGAAACACCUUGCUGCCACUUUGUCCUGCUUAUUGUCAUGCUGGUCACUUCCACGUACAGAAUUAAGAGGCCAUCACUGAGCAGAGGGAGGAGUGGAAGCUCAAAUGUUUGUUAUUGUUAAAUUCACUCGUGCCCUUCUGAAACGUGUGCACGUGUGUAAAAGGACAGAGACAGAAGAUUGAUGUUUUUGCCUAAGAAAUUUCUCCAAAACAAAGGCAAUGGACCUAGAGCUUUUCAGUAAAGCUUAUCUUUUCUCUUUUAUCAUCCCCCUUUCUCAUUUCAAAGAGUUUCUUUUUUUCAGUGAUUAUUCCAUAACGAGUAAUGUGACAAACAACCAUCAUUACAAAGUCAGAAGCAAAAGAUGGAGCUGUAAAAUGUGAACGAAUGUAAAUCAAAUAUUCAUGUGUGCUGGCAACAAAGAGUUGAGUGUUUUGCACUGUGGUUAAGUAUCAAUUACUGAAAACUAAGAUACGUCACUAUCUACAUACACACACACACACCUACACACACACACACACACACACACACACACACACACGGGACAGCAAUCUAAGUGGCACAAAGCACAGAACUUAGAGUCACCUGACUGGGCCCAUGUCUCUGCCUUGCCACUUAACAGCUAUGAGCAAAUGUUUUCAAACUCUGAGUUUCAGUUUCUAAUCAACUUACAUAGAUAAGAAUUAACACCUGAUCUACCCAUUUCCCAAGACUAUUGUGAGAAUGAGAUUAUAUAGAAAAAAUGGUUACUGUAUGCCAUCAUGUUUUUAACUAAUAUAAUUCUCUGUAGAAUAGCAAAUGGCUUUUAACGAUUAAUUCACUCAACUUUUAUUGAGUGUCUACUCUGUACCAAACAUGUCUACUUCUUUGUAACAGUCCUUUUUAAGCUUUCAGAUUCCAGGGUGAUUUUCUAUUUGGAAAUAAGGAUUUUAUUGCUUCCAUAUCUUCUAUGUAACUUCUAUAUUUAGGCUUCUAUAUAAUAAAGAGGUAUAUAUACAUUACACACAUACACACACACACACACACACACACAGUGACAGUAAGAGACGAUCAUGUCAAUGUUAUCCAGAAAGGUACCAAUAAAACCAAGAUAAAAAUUAAAACUGCUUAAAAAUAACAAUACUUUACCCAGAAAUGUGCUAUGCUAAAGUAUUUUAAGAAAAGAAAUCACAAAUAGUUGUUCUUAGCAACUUCAUAAUCUUGCUCUAAACUGGGAAAAUACAGUUUGAAGCCUUCAUCAUCAUCACUUCAUUGGAGCUUCCAAGCUGUUGCAAUUUAUCAUCCCAUACUUUAAGUUUCUUUCUGAUCUUCCACAUCCUGAAGUUCUUUCUAGUUUAAGGAUCUUGGUCCUACGUUUCCUUGUGCUGUGUAUGUCGAUUUUCUCCGUCACUGCCUGUCUGUUGUACUAAGUCAGUGUCUAAGCUCAAAAAGACAAAAGCAAAAGGGCAGGAUUUGUGCUCGGUGUUUCUAGUCUGCUCGAUCUUGAGAUUUAGUUUAUUUCAAUAAUUUAGAAGACUUCGGGUGACUUACUGAAAGUGCGUCAUGAAUAAACUGUAACAAAUCAACUCCAAAAUUGGAAGAUGACUUAGGUUCCAUGUUUUUCUUCCUGCUGUGCCAGGCUCAGCGCUGCCUUCUCAUCUCACGUGCUGGCAACUUCACAGGGCAGAGCUUCUGUCUGAUGCUCUUCUUACCAGAACUACUAAGAGUUAUGUUCAAUUUUCAACAGUAGAUAUUAGAUGGUUAAGACAUCCCAGGAAUCCAGUGUGUUUUUAGUAGAUGUUAUUAACACAUUGUUGAGUAGGUUACACUGUAUUGAAG
rnacentral:lncRNA from 1 species